CCCCCAUCCCCUCGCCGGCCCUGGGGUGUUUCCAUGGGAACCGUUCGCGCCGCCGCCACAGCUGAAUCUGAGGGGCUCCGGCAACUCCCGGUUCUGCUCGCUGCCGCCUCGCCCUCACUGUGUCUCCCUGUGGCUGUGUGCGAUUUGAGGUAUAAUAAUAAAUAACUGGCAAAGAAAACGAAAAAUAUAAGGAAAACGUAAAACUAAGCGUGUGAAUACAAGGCUGAAGAGGAUUUUGUUUUCACCUUAAAGUCUCGUGGAAAAGAAAAACACGAAAAAAACAUAGACGAAAAAACUGCGAAGCUCGAAGUGACGAACGAACAAAACAAAACAAAAAACAUCCUUGACCGUCAUUAACAGAGAGUGAACGAAGGAGGAAGAGGAGGAGGAAGAAGAACGACCCCCCCCCCCCCAACACACACACAAAAACACACACACACAACCUCCCCCCCUACACCCCCACCCACACACACACACACACACAUGAGAGAGAGUGAACGAGAGUGAGCGGACACGUGUAGGUGUUGGGGGCCGCGGCGUGAGUGCGUGCGUGCGUGGCUGAUGAUGCUGGUGGCGGUGGCGGCGGGGACGCGAAGGAGGAGCAGCUGCAGCCGUCGCCGUCAGGGUCAGGAUGGGCAGUGCGUGUAGCUGCGGCAAGAGCGGGCCGGAGGACUCCCCACACCCCGAGAAACGCAACGCACGCAAUGGGCGGUGUUCCGUUGGUGCCUUAAACGGCCCUCUAAACGGCCCCGUCAACGGCCAUGUCCAUGAGGAUGCAACAGGAGGAGGAACAGAGGCACCAAAAGAAGGAGCAGCAGCGGAGGAGUCUCGCGAGGGAGGAGGAGGAGGAGGAGGAGGAGGCGUGUCAGAAGCGCAAAGUGGAGAAGCGGAAAAGUAUGGACGAGGAGGUGGAGGAGAAAAAGCGUCACAGGAAGGAGUGGGACAAGCAGGAUGGCAGGAAGAACGCGCGAGGAAGAGCUCCGCGGUAAAGAGUGUAGCGAAGUCAGCGGUUAGUGCCCCCCCUGUACCCCAUGCCGCCCCCCCUGCUGACAAUGCUAACCCGCCCCCGCCCCCCCCAGAAGCUCAGCAGGCAGGGGGCAGCAGUGAAGAGGAAGCAGAGGAAGAGUUGCUGAAGAUCAUGGCAGGAGAGUUGGCAGCGCUGGUGUCCCGCUUGGAGACGGCGGUGGAGCGGCUGGAGAAGGCAGGGACGGGCGACAAGGGCGGAUCGGGGAGCGCUGCGGCAGGGGCUGAAGGUAAGGCUGACGGGGAAGGGUCCAA